rnacentral:ncRNA from 12 species
GUUUGCAUGAUGAGUGUUACUGUUCAACUGCUGUGUGAUACAGACGUGAACUAAAGCUUUAUUCUGACAGCU